CGGGUGAGUAACACGUAUCCAACCUGCCGUCUACUCUUGGCCAGCCUUCUGAAAGGAAGAUUAAUCCAGGAUGGCAUCAUGAGUUCACAUGUCCGCAUGAUUAAAGGUAUUUUCCGGUAGACGAUGGGGAUGCGUUCCAUUAGAUAGUAGGCGGGGUAACGGCCCACCUAGUCUUCGAUGGAUAGGGGUUCUGAGAGGAAGGUCCCCCACACUGGAACUGAGACACGGUCCAG
rnacentral:rRNA from 1 species